AUUGAACGCUGGCGGAAUGCUUUACACAUGCAAGUCGAACGGCAGCACGGACUUCGGUCUGGUGGCGAGUGGCGAACGGGUGAGUAAUGUAUCGGAACGUGCCCAGUCGUGGGGGAUAACGUAGUGAAAAUUACGCUAAUACCGCAUACGAUCUAUGGAUGAAAGCGGGGGAUCGCAAGACCUCGCGCGAUUGGAGCGGCCGAUAUCAGAUUAGGUCGUUGGUGGGGUAACGGCCCACCAAGCCAACGAUCUGUAGCUGGUCUGAGAGGACGACCAGCCACACUGGAACUGAGACACGGUCCAGACUCCUACGGGAGGCAGCAGUGGGGAAUUUUGGACAAUGGGCGAAAGCCUGAUCCAGCCAUUCCGCGUGCAGGAUGAAGGCCCUCGGGUUGUAAACUGCUUUUGUACAGAACGAAAAGGUUUCUACUAAUACUAGGAGCUCAUGACGGUACUGUAAGAAUAAGCACCGGCUAACUACGUGCCAGCCGCCGCAGUAA
rnacentral:rRNA from 1 species